UACGUAGGGUGCAAGCGUUGUCCGGAAUUAUUGGGCGUAAAGAGCUCGUAGGCGGUCUGUCGCGUCUGCUGUGAAAACUCGGGGCUUAACCCCGGGCCUGCAGUGGGUACGGGCAGACUAGAGUGCGGUAGGGGAGAAUGGAAUUCCUGGUGUAGCGGUGGAAUGCGCAGAUAUCAGGAGGAACACCGAUGGCGAAGGCAGUUCUCUGGGCCGUAACUGACGCUGAGGAGCGAAAGCAUGGGGAGCGAACAGG
rnacentral:rRNA from 1 species